UGUGCUCGUUACAGAAUCACCGCGCGCUCUGGAAAGAGCGGGAAAGUGGAAAGGCAGUUAGUCAGUUACAACACCUCGUCCCCCCUGAACUGUAACGGAGAGAGACGCCUGACUACCCUGAACUGUAACGGAGAGGUAACGUUAGGUGAGACGCCCGACUACCGGCGACGGGGGGGUGAGAAGGCAGUUUGUCAGUUACAGCAGGCGUCCUCCUGAACGGUAACGGAGAGUGAGAUGCCCGACUACCGGCGACAGGGCAGUGUGAAGGUGAUGAAACGUAAUUCAUGAGCUGUAACCGAAAAACAACUAGCAACUUGGAAAGUUUGAGGUGAGUCUGCUGAGCUAUUUAACUGUAGAGCUGCACAUUAACAAACCUGUCACCCUGUUGUCAGCAACCAGCAGACAGUUCCCUGAGGAAGGAUGCAAUGGUCAAGGCUGUCAAUGACCAGAUUAUGGGGAUGACUAAACGCAAUAAAGGAGUGUAAAAUGUUAUAAAACAAUAACUUUUUCAUUGCCUGUUGGUCUUCACAUUUUCACUAUGGUAACUUAAACAUGCAGACUUAAAUCAAAGACAACACAGAGGUUAUGAUUCAAAAGUUUUUUUUAAAUUAAAAAGUAUCAUGUCCAGGGUGAAUAAAUGUUUUAUUUAUGUAUAUCAGACAUCCCAGCGGGUUUGGCCGGCAGGGAUGUUCUUGUCCAAUCGCGCUCUAGCAACUCCUGUGGCGGGCCGGGCGCAGUGCACGCUGGCACGGUCGCCAGGUGUACGGUGUUUCCUCCAACAUUGGUGCGGCUGGCUUCUGGGUUAAGCGGGUAUUGUGUCAAGAAGCAGUGCAGCUUGGUUGGGUUGUGUUUCGGAGGACGCACGGCUCUCGACAUUCACCUCUGCCGAGUCCGUACGGGAGUUGCAGCGAUGGGACAAGACUAACUACUAAUUAGAUAUCACGAAAUUGGUGAGAAUAAGUGGUAUAAAAAAUAUAUAUAAUUUAAGUAUUUAUAAACCUUGAGACAUGGAUUGUGUAUGUGUGCCAUUCAGAGGGUAAAUUGGCAAGCCAAAAAGUUGUACGGUGCCUUUAAAACGGGGUAUGGUAGUAGGUGCCAGGCGCACCAGUUUGAGUAUAUCAAGAAAUGCAACUCCGAUGGGUUUUUCCACACUCAACCGUUUCCUGUGUGUUUCAAGAAUGGUCCACCACACAAAGGACAUCGAGCCAAGUUAACAACUGUGGGAAACAUUGAAGUCAACCUGGGCCAGCAUUCCUGUGGAACACUUUUGACAACUUGUAAAGUCCAUGUCCUGAUGAAUUGAGGCUGUUCUGAGGGCAAAAAGGGGGGUGCAACUCAAUGUUAGGAAGGUGUUCCUAAUGUUUUGUACACUGUAUAUCAAAGACUAGGUUGAAGAAUGUUAAUAGGCCCCAGGAAGAGUAACGGGAUACUUAAUAAAUACAAAUACAGACAAGUAAAUGUCAGUAGUUGCAUUUGUAUCUAUUUGUAAGAACGAGUGGUUACAAGACAUGUAGACCUUCCAAACACAGAAAGAAGGGUGUUCCACAAUCUUGUUUAACAAAUGGCUAAAAGUCCCAACUGGACAAGUACAAAAAUAAAAUGUUAGUCCUUGAGGAAUGUUCCCCCACCCAGCCACAAUGAAGCCACAAAAGAACCAUGGAAAGUAUUAUAAUAUUAAAGCAAAAACAAAUAAAAUGGGGAAAUAGCAAAUAGAUUUAAAACAAAGCUGAACAAUGCUUGAGUCAUUUAAACCAAAAUAAAUGGAGAAACGGUAUUGUCAGGGUUCGUACAGAUAUUGGCAAGUCUAAUUCAAGGACUUAAGUACUUUUUCAUGCAUUAAUAUUCAUUUUCAAGGACCAUCAAUUUGUAAUAGUUACUGUUAUGCAAUUGUUUCUAGACGCCACCAGGUGGCAGUAUAUUACCCCAACCUCAUGAAAACCCCCCCAACUAACUUACUGUUCAUCAC
rnacentral:lncRNA from 1 species